rnacentral:rRNA from 1 species
GGGCCCGCACAAGCGGUGGAGCAUGUGGUUUAAUUCGAUGAUACGCGAGGAACCUUACCAGGGCUUAAAUGCAGUUUGACAGGUCCCGAAAGGGAUUUUCUUCGGACAGAUUGCAAGGUGCUGCAUGGUUGUCGUCAGCUCGUGCCGUGAGGUGUUAGGUUAAGUCCUGCAACGAGCGCAACCCCUAUUCUUAGUUGCCAGCGGUUCGGCCGGGGACUCUAAGAAGACUGCCAGCGCAAGCUGUGAGGAAGGUGGGGAUGACGUCAAAUCAUCACGGCCCUUACGUCCUGGGCUACACACGUGCUACAAUGGUGUUGACAGAGGGCAGCCACAUGGCGACAUGGAGCUAA